UACGUAGGGUGCGAGCGUUAAUCGGAUUUACUGGGCGUAAAGCGUGCGCAGGCGGCCCGUUAAGACAGGUGUGAAAUCCCCGGGCUCAACCUAGGAAUUGCGCUUGUGACUGGCGGGCUCGAAUACGGUAGAGGGGGGUGGAAUUCCUGGUGUAGCAGUGAAAUGCGUAGAGAUCAGGAGGAACACCGAUGGCGAAGGCAGCCCCCUGGGCCUGUACUGACGCUCAUGCACGAAAGCGUGGGGAGCAAACAGG
rnacentral:rRNA from 1 species